rnacentral:rRNA from 1 species
GAAUAUUGGACAAUGGGGGGAACCCUGAUCCAGCCAUGCCGCGUGUGUGAAGAAGGCCUUUUGGUUGUAAAGCACUUUAAGCGAGGAGGAGGCUACCUGGAUUAAUCAUUUAGGAUAGUGGACGUUACUCGCAGCAUAAGCACCGGCUAACUCUUUGCCAUCCGGCGCGGUAAUAAAGAGGGUGCGAGCGUUAAUCGGGUUUACUGGGCGUAAAGCGUGCGUAGGCGGCCAAUUAAGUCAAAUGUGAAAUCCCCGAGCUUAACUUGGGAAUUGCAUUCGAUACUGGUUGGCUAGAGUAUGGGAGAGGAUGGUAGAAUUCCAGGUGUAGCGGUGAAAUGCGUAGAGAUCUGGAGGAAUACCGAUGGCGAAGGCAGCCAUCUGGCCUAAUACUGACGCUGAGGUACGAAAGCAUGGGGAGCAAACAG